CAUAUUCACACUUGGCGUCUUUUUUGACAAGAAAAAGUUGACAAGGGAGCUUUUGUAGUGAAAAAAGAAGAAGCUGGCAGCGUUUUGGUUCCAUAAAGCAGCCAGGAGAACCUUUUGUUGCUAUAACAACAGCUACUGCUACAGUAUCGUAGCUAGAGCACGAUGGGGAGUGAUGCUAACGUUAGAUGAAAAAAGUGGUGGAGCGAGAUUGAGAAAGAACAGAGAGAGAGAGUGGUGCUAAAGUUCGAUAAAACAAAGCGGUGGAGCGAGAUUGAGAAAGAACAAAGAGAGAGAGAGUGAGUGGUGCUAAAGUUAGAUAAAACAAAGCGGUGGAGCAAGAUUGAGAAAGAACAGAGAGAGAGAGAGUGGUGCUGCUAACGUUACAAAGAACAAAGUAAGUUCACUGUACAGGGAGCACCCGGUCAUAUCGUAGAACUUGCUGCGCUCCAAAUCCAUUUUUUUUCUUUUUGUCAUGGAAACGACAGGCCUGGCUACUCCGCUUCUCAUUGGUCAGCUGUCAAUAAAGCGCUUGACCUAGGAUGUUUUUUUCAGAACAGUUGAACUUCUUUCAACUUCAAAAAGACGCUCCGAGUUGCAAAAAAGAAGUCGGUGCUU